rnacentral:misc_RNA from 1 species
GAUGAAGAACGUAGCGAAAUGCGAUAAGUAAUGUGAAUUGCAGAAUUCAGUGAAUCAUCGAAUCUUUGAACGCACAUUGCGCCCGUCAGUAUUCUGGCGGGCAUGCCUGUUCGAGCGUCAUUACGCCCCUCAAGUCCCCUGUGGACUUGGUGUUGGGGAUCGGCGAGGCUGGUUUUCCAGCACAGCCGUCCCUUAAAUUAAUUGGCGGUCUCGCCGUGGCCCUCCUCUGCGCAGUAGUAAAACACUCGCAACAGGAGCCCGGCGCGGUCCACUGCCGUAAAACCCCACAACUUUUUAUAGUUGACCUCGAAUCAGGUAGGACUACCCGCUGAACUUAAGCAUAUCAAUAAGCGGAGGA